CGUGCCGGGAUUCGAACUUCGGCCGUCCGACACGCGAGGUGAGCGUGUUACCAUUACUCCACCAGCAC
rnacentral:tRNA from 11 species